rnacentral:rRNA from 1 species
UACAGAGGUGGCAAGCGUUGUUCGGAAUUACUGGGCGUAAAGGGCGCGUAGGCGGCUUGGUCAGUCCCGUGUGAAAUCCCUCGGCUCAACUGAGGAACUGCACGGGAAACUGCCUGGCUUGAGUUCGGGAGAGGGAAGCGGAAUUCCGGGUGUAGCGGUGAAAUGCGUAGAUAUCCGGAGGAACACCGGUGGCGAAGGCGGCAUCCUGGACCAACACUGACGCUGAGGAGCGAAAGCCAGGGGAGCAAACGGG